rnacentral:rRNA from 1 species
UUGGAGGGCAAGUCUGGUGCCAGCAGCCGCGGUAAUUCCAGCUCCAAUAGCGUAUAUUAAAGUUGUUGCAGUUAAAAAGCUCGUAGUUGAAUUUCGGGGUCAGUAGGUUGGUCAUGCCACUGGUAUGUACUGGUCUCACUGAUUCCUCCUUCCUGAUGAGCUGUAAUGCCAUUAAUUUGGUGUUGCGGGGAAUCCGGACUGUUACUUUGAAAAAAUUAGAGUGUUUAAAGCAGGCUAACGCCUGAAUACAUUAGCAUGGAAUAAUGAAAUAGGACGUUCGAUCCUAUUUUGUUGGUUUCUAGGAUUGACGUAAUGAUUAAUAGGGAUAGUUGGGGGCAUUAGUAUUCAAUUGUCAGAGGUGAAAUUCUUGGAUUUAUUGAAGACUAACUACUGCGAAAGCAUUUGCCAAGGAUGUUUUCAUUAAUCAAGAACGAAAGUUAGGGGAUCGAAGACGAUCAGAUACCGUCGUAGUCUUAACCAUAAACUAUGCCGACUAGGGAUCGGAUGAUGUUAAUUUUUUAAUGACUCAUUCGGCGCCUUACGGGAAAC